rnacentral:rRNA from 1 species
AGUGACGGCUCACUUAGAGCAGAUAUCACCUUGUUCGGAAUCCUAAUAUGGAUAACUGCGAGAAAUACUGGAGCUAAUACAUGCAACUAAACCCCAACGUAAGGCGGGGUGCAAUUAUUAGAACAGACCAAACGUUUUCGGACGUUGUUUGUUGACUCUGAAUAAAGCAGUUUACUGUCAGUUUCGACUGACUCUAUCCGAAAAGGGUGUCUGCCCUUUCAACUAGAUGGUAGUUUAUUGGACUACCAUGGUUGUUACGGGUAACGGAGAAUAAGGGUUCGACUCCGGAGAGGGAGCCUUAGAAACGGCUACCACGUCCAAGGAAGGCAGCAGGCGCGAAACUUAUCCACUGUUGAGUAUGAGAUAGUGACUAAAAAUAUAAAGACUCAUCCUUUUGGAUGAGUUAUUUCAAUGAGUUGAAUACAAAUGAUUCUUCGAGUAGCAAGGAGAGGGCAAGUCUGGUGCCAGCAGCCGCGGUAAUUCCAGCUCUCCUAGUGUAUCUCGUUAUUGCUGCGGUUAAAAAGCUCGUAGUUGGAUCUAGGUUACGUGCUGCAGUUCGCAAUUUGCGUCAACUGUAGUCGUGACUUCUAAUUUGCUGGUUUGAGGUUGGGUCCGCCCUUCAACUGCCAGCAGGUUUACCUUGAAUAAAUCAGAGUGCUCAAAACAAGUGUUUGCUUGAAUAGCUCAUCAUGGAAUAAUGAAACAGGACUUCGGUUCUUUUUGUUGGUUCUAGAACUGAUUUAUGGUUAAGAGGGACAAACCGGGGGCAUUCGUAUCAUUACGCGAGAGUGAAAUUCGGGACGUAUGAGACGCCACACAAGAUUUUCCCAAAAGAAGGGACAUAGACAGGGUAUG